UCGCGGUGGCGGAGCGUCGUUUGCGACGCCCAACACACAAAACAAGCGGUGAGUGCUUUGGGGUGGGGUGACUGCGUACCUUUUGUAUAAUGGGUCAGCGACUUAUAUUCUGUAGCAAGGUUAACCGUAUAGGGGAGCCGUAGGGAAACCGAGUCUUAACCGGGCGUUAAGUUGCAGGGUAUAGACCCGAAACCCGGUGAUCUAGCCAUGGGCAGGUUGAAGGUUGGGUAACACUAACUGGAGGACCGAACCGACUAAUGUUGAAAAAUUAGCGGAUGACCUGUGGCUGGGGGUGAAAGGCCAAUCAAACCGGGAGAUAGCUGGUUCUCCCCGAAAGCUAUUUAGGUAGCGCCUCGUGAACUCAUCUCCGGGGGUAGAGCACUGUUUCGGCUAGGGGGUCAUCCCGACUUACCAACCCGAUGCAAACUGCGAAUACCGAAGAAUGUUAUCACGGGAGACACACGGCGGGUGCUAACGUCCGUCGUGAAGAGGGAAACAACCCAGACCGCCAGCUAAGGUCCCAAAGUCAUGGUUAAGUGGGAAACGAUGUGGGAAGGCCCAGACAGCCAGGAUGUUGGCUUAGAAGCAGCCAUCAUUUAAAGAAAGCGUAAUAGCUCACUGGUCGAGUCGGCCUGCGCGGAAGAUGUAACGGGGCUAAACCAUGCACCGAAGCUGCGGCAGCGACGCUGAUGCGUUGUUGGGUAGGGGAGCGUUCUGUAAGCCUGUGAAGGUGGCCUGUGAGGGUUGCUGGAGGUAUCAGAAGUGCGAAUGCUGACAUAAGUAACGAUAAUGCGGGUGAAAAGCCCGCUCGCCGGAAGACCAAGGGUUCCUGUCCAACGUUAAUCGGGGCAGGGUGAGUCGACCCCUAAGGCGAGGCCGAAAGGCGUAGUCGAUGGGAAACGGGUUAAUAUUCCCGUA
rnacentral:rRNA from 1 species